ensembl:lncRNA
GUUGCUGACAUGACAACCACAUCCUGCUUCUGACAGAGGAUAACAUAUGCUACUAGACAGACCAAGUCUCUGCAGAGACUAAGAGAUGGAGAGGCCCUGGCCUAAAAGGAGGAGAGAAGAGGAGAACAAUACUACUGUCAAGAAUGGAACAACUGUUGACCAAAGACCCUCCCCUUCUGUUUCUAAGGAGUCAGAGAAGAGGUCCAAUGAAAUGGGUAGGUUAAGCUAUGUUUCUGACAUGAUGUAGCAUCGUCUUUUGGCUUCAGUGUUUUUACAUUUCAAUUUGAAACUGUAUUUUUAUGGAAAAUAUACAUCUGUGUGUAAU